rnacentral:lncRNA from 13 species
UCGCGUCUAUUUUUAAUCACCGCGUGCGGCGAACCAGCCGAUCCUCUUGAGCGCGCAAAAGUCAAAAGUUCCUUUAUUUAAGGCGUCAUGAGUUAGAACGAUUCCAGGGUGAUCUAGUUGAGGACCUUCGUCGUGGAUGGACACGGACACGCUCUUUUCAUGAUUGUCGCUCAUUGUGGGAGUGAUCAGGUCAACGCGGCGUUAUGAUUCCACUGCUGCGCGUCGUGUUGGUACACGAACAUUUUCCGCGACUGCGAGCUCCCGUCUGAAAACAUUAAAUGUUGAAACAAACGAUUGCUGUAAGAAGCGCAUGUUUUCAAUCUUUAAUUUCUUUUUGGUGAG